AGAGACAGCAGCAGCCACGGUAAUACGUAGGUGGCAAGCGUUGUCCGGAAUUAUUGGGCGUAAAGGGCUCGCAGGCGGUUUCUUAAGUCUGAUGUGAAAGCCCCCGGCUCAACCGGGGAGGGUCAUUGGAAACUGGGAAACUUGAGUGCAGAAGAGGAGAGUGGAAUUCCACGUGUAGCGGUGAAAUGCGUAGAGAUGUGGAGGAACACCAGUGGCGAAGGCGACUCUCUGGUCUGUAACUGACGCUGAGGAGCGAAAGCGUGGGAGCGAACAGGAUUAGAUACCCCGGUAGUCCCUGUCUCUUAUACC
rnacentral:rRNA from 1 species